AAAGUGGUGUGCUUGUGUUGCCUGCUGGAAAUCAAUAUUAAUACAGAUGGUUUUUCAGCUCUUGCUAUGCACUAACAAGGAGCUGUCUGAAAAGGAUGCCAUGUGAAAGAGAGGCCACAUUACCUAGAAGCAAUAACAGAGUGUGAUACCGCAUGAAAUGGAAAUUCACUUUGACAACGGCUGGAAUAUGGUUACUAUCAUCAUUAUCACUCAGAAUUAAAGUUACACUUACAAAAGUGUAUGAGAUGCUCUGCCCAGAGGGAGGAGCCAAGCAUUGCUGCCCAGAUAUAAUCCAGAAGUUU